UGUGUAUAAUGAAUUUAGUGUGUUUGUAGUGAGUGCAGUGUGUACAAUGAAUGCAGUGUAUGUAGUGUGUUUGUAGUGAAUGCAGUGUGUAUAGUGAAUGUAGUGUGUAGUGAGUGCAGAAUGUGUAUAAUGAAUGCAGAGUGUGUAUAGUGAAUGCAGAGGGUGUAUAGUGAAUGUAGUGUGUUUGUAGUGAGUGUAUAGUGAAUGUAGAGUGUUUGUAGUGAGUGCAGUGUGUACAAUGAAUGCAGUGUAUGUAGUGUGUUUGUAGUGAAUGCAGAGUGUGUAUAGUGAAUGUAGUGUGU